rnacentral:ncRNA from 2 species
GUUUGACUCAAAGCGCCUGAACUGAGCGGGACGACAAUACGCUUAGUUGACGAGGAGGAGGUUUAUCGAUGAUUCGGCGGAUACCUCCCGGUUGCGGUACACAACUGUCAUGUUCCUCCUUAAAACAGCGGGGUAACCCGGAUGUACAAAGGGAGUGGACGUGUACCAUA